rnacentral:snRNA from 1 species
GUGCUUGCUUGCUUCAGCAGGACAUAUACUAAAAUUGGAAUGCUACCGAGAAGAUUAACAAGGCCCCUGCCCAAGGAUGACACGAAAAUUCGUGAAGCGUUCCAUAUUUUU